CCUACGGGAGGCAGCAGUGGGGGAUAUUGGACAAUGGGGGAAACCCUGAUCCAGCGACGCCGCGUGAGUGAAGAAGUAUUUCGGUAUGUAAAGCACUAUCAGCAGGGAAGAAAGAAAUGACGGUACCUGAGUAAGCAGCCCCGGCUAACUACGUGCCAGCAGCCGCGGUAAUACGUAGGGGGCAAGCGUUAUCCGGAAUUACUGGGUGUAAAGGGAGCGUAGACGGUAAUGCAAGUCUGGAGUGAAAGGCGGGGGCCCAACCCCCGGACUGCUCUGGAAACUGUGUAACUUGAGUGCAGGAGAGGCAGGCGGAAUUCCUAGUGUAGCGGUGAAAUGCGUAGAGAUUAGGAGGAACACCAGUGGCGAAGGCGGCCUGCUGGACUGAGACUGACGUUGAGGCUCGAAAGCGUGGGGAGCAAACAGGAUUAGAUACCCUUGUAGUC
rnacentral:rRNA from 1 species